UGGGGAGGAAAUGGCUCACCAAGGCUACAAUGUAUACGGGGUCUGAGAGAAUAAUCCCCCCCCCUGGAACUGAAACCCGGACCAAACUCCUACGGAAGGCACCAUGAGGAAAUAUUGAUCAAGGGACCAAUCUUUAAACCACCCUUGCCCCGGGAAGGAUAAAGGCUCUCUGGUGCAAAAACUUCUUUUAUUAGAAAAAACACCUCCUGAUGCAUCCUGAGCUGAUGACACUUCCUGAAUAAUGAUCGGCUAAUUUCUUCCCGCCAGCCGCCGUAAGACU
rnacentral:rRNA from 1 species